ACGCUGGCGGCAGGCCUAACACAUGCAAGUCGGACGGUAGCACAGAGAGCUUGCUCUCGGGUGACGAGUGGCGGACGGGUGAGUAAUGUCUGGGAAACUGCCUGAUGGAGGGGGAUAACUACUGGAAACGGUAGCUAAUACCGCAUAACGUCGCAAGACCAAAGAGGGGGACCUUCGGGCCUCUUGCCAUCAGAUGUGCCCAGAUGGGAUUAGCUAGUAGGCGGGGUAACGGCCCACCUAGGCGACGAUCCCUAGCUGGUCUGAGAGGAUGACCAGCCACACUGGAACUGAGACACGGUCCAGACUCCUACGGGAGGCAGCAGUGGGGAAUAUUGCACAAUGGGCGCAAGCCUGAUGCAGCCAUGCCGCGUGUGUGAAGAAGGCCUUCGGGUUGUAAAGCACUUUCAGCGGGGAGGAAGGCGGUACGGUUAAUAACCGUGCCGAUUGACGUUACCCGCAGAAGAAGCACCGGCUAACUCCGUGCCAGCAGCCGCGGUAAUACGGAGGGUGCAAGCGUUAAUCGGAAUUACUGGGCGUAAAGCGCACGCAGGCGGUCUGUCAAGUCGGAUGUGAAAUCCCCGGGCUCAACCUGGGAACUGCAUUCGAAACUGGCAGGCUGGAGUCUCGUAGAGGGAGGUAGAAUUCCAGGUGUAGCGGUGAAAUGCGUAGAGAUCUGGAGGAAUACCGGUGGCGAAGGCGGCCUCCUGGACGAAGACUGACGCUCAGGUGCGAAAGCGUGGGGAGCAAAC
rnacentral:rRNA from 1 species